AUUGAACGCUGGCGGCAGGCCUACACAUGCAAGUCGAGCGGAUGAGGGUAGCUUGCUAUCUGAUUCAGCGGCGGACGGGUGAGUAAUGCCUAGGAAUCUGCCUGGUAGUGGGGGACAACGUUUCGAAAGGAACGCUAAUACCGCAUACGUCCUACGGGAGAAAGUGGGGGAUCUGCGGACCUCACGCUAUCAGAUGAGCCUAGGUACGAUUAGCUAGUUGGUGAGGUAAAGGCUCACCAAGGCGACGAUCGUUAACUGGUCUGAGAGGAUGAUCAGUCACACUGGAACUGAGACACGGUCCAGACUCCUACGGGAGGCAGCAGUGGGGAAUAUUGGACAAUGGGCGAAAGCCUGAUCCAGCCAUGCCGCGUGUGUGAAGAAGGUCUUCGGAUUGUAAAGCACUUUAAGUUGGGAGGAAGGGCAGUAAGUUAAUACCUUGCUGUUUUGACGUUACCGACAGAAUAAGCACCGGCUAACUUCGUGCCAGCCGCCGCCGUAAGAC
rnacentral:rRNA from 1 species